rnacentral:rRNA from 1 species
GUGACAUACCUAUACGUUGCCUCGGCGGAUCAGCCCGCGCCCCGUAAAAAGGGACGGCCCGCCCGAGGACCCCUAAACUCUGUUUUUAGUGGAACUUCUGAGUAAAACAAACAAAUAAAUCAAAACUUUCAACAACGGAUCUCUUGGUUCUGGCAUCGAUGAAGAACGCAGCAAAAUGCGAUAAGUAAUGUGAAUUGCAGAAUUCAGUGAAUCAUCGAAUCUUUGAACGCACAUUGCGCCCGCCAGUAUUCUGGCGGGCAUGCCUGUUCGAGCGUCAUUUCAACCCUCAAGCUCAGCUUGGUGUUGGGACUCGCGGUAACCCGCGUUCCCCAAAUCGAUUGGCGGUCACGUCGAGCUUCCAUAGCGUAGUAAUCAUACACCUCGUUACUGGUAAUCGUCGCGGCCACGCCGUAAAACCCCAACUUCUGAAUGUUGACCUCGGAUCAGGUAGGAAUACCCGC